rnacentral:rRNA from 1 species
AUGCUUGUAUGUAUCAUGCUCCACAAAGUAGACACAAUUUCUCCUGAUGGCUGGGAACUCCUUUGCAGAGAGCGCGAGCGUGUCACCCCGGCCCAGGAAGAGCGAGUAGUCGCCGAGAUCCGACACCUUGUCCUCCCGGAGGUCGAGGCGGUCGGCAUCCCAAUCCGGGCAGUGCACUUCCGCAAGUAUCACGGCCUGGCGUGGUCCGCGAUACACAAUAACGAGCAGCAUCUGGUUGUUGCAGGCCACAGCAUGCGGCACCGGAUUCCCAGGGUAGCGUGGAUACCGCGCUUGCAGAGGAGCGUAGAGGCAGAUGCGGCGCAGGCGCUUGGGAGGAUGGUCUUGGAGAUCGAAAAUAUCGAGGGACAUGUUGAUGGUGGACAUGUAGAAUCUGCCGUUGUGGAAGGCCGCGCCUUCGAUCCUGUCGUUAGGGUACUCGAGCUGCAUCACCCAGCCUGCGUCUCCGGGGCGCCAGAAGAAGAGCCUCUGCCCGAUCUGUGCGCCGGGGAUCUUCUGGCUCGCGAUGGCCAUCCAGCGGCAGCCCGGCGAGGCGAGCGGGUCUCCGGAGAGGAACACUUGGGCGACGGUUGUGAGACUGGGCAGAGGGAUAUCGGCUUUGGAGAGGGGCUCCCAGAGGAUGAGCCUGGUGGGGGAUCGCAGGUGGUCCGUGAGAGCGAGCCAGCCGCAGGGCGUGCCGCAGCAGUAGGGGAGGCCGGCCGGGGCCGGUGCCCGGGAGUCUAUCCUUGGGUCGCUGCUGCCGCGGGGCAGCCACAAGGAGUGUUCGCCGACGGGGUUGACCGCGCUGAAAGGAUCUCGGUGGCGGUCGUGGGCGGCGACGACCCACGGGCGGCAGUCCGCGAGGCGGGGCGGUGGACGCGCGCCAGUGGGAGCAUACCUGGCGGAUUUGGAUUUGGUCCGCGUCGGCCUGCAGACGGUCGGAGACUUCCUUGA